CCUACGGGAGGCAGCAGUGAGGAAUAUUGGUCAAUGGUCGAAAGACUGAACCAGCCAAGUAGCGUGCAGGAUGACUGCCCUAUGGGUUGUAAACUUCUUUUAUAUGGGAAUAAAAUGUUCCACGUGUGAUAUUUUGUAUGUACCACAUGAAUAAGGAUCGGCUAAUUCCGUGCCAGCAGCCGCGGUAAUACGGAGGGUCCGAGCGUUAUCCGGAUUUAUUGGGUUUAAAGGGAGCGUAGGUGGAUUGUUAAGCCUGAUGUGAAAUGUUGUGGCUCAACCGUAGAAGUGCAGUUGAAACUGGCAGGCUUGAGUGCAGGAGAGGUAUGCGGAAUUCGUGGUGUAGCGGUGAAAUGCUUAGAUAUCACGAAGAACUCCGAUGGCGAAGGCAGCUCACGGGAGUGCAACUGACGCUGAGGCUCGAAGGCGUGGGUAUCAAACAGGAUUAGAUACCCUAGUAGUC
rnacentral:rRNA from 1 species